rnacentral:ncRNA from 1 species
CGAAGCUCCGGAAAGUGGGGGAAACCGCCCUCACGCCGAAGGUGCAACCGGGCGAAGGGGGCCUUCGCCUCGGGAAUCUCUCAGGCACAGAACGGAGGCG